rnacentral:ncRNA from 1 species
GCAAGAAGUUAGGGGAGCUGAGCUAAAGUGGCUGAGAGGGAAAUGAGUUUCCGACCCACUGACCUGAACUAGGUAAUGCUAACGGAAGGAAUAAAUUGUGUGAUUCGUA